rnacentral:rRNA from 1 species
CUAGUAACGGCGAGUGAACAGGCAAGAGCUCAGAUUUGAAAGGCACUUUUGUGCCGUUGUAUUCUGAAGUUAGGGUCCUGAGAAACGAUGCUUAAGUCUUCUGGAAAGGAGCGCCAUGGAGGGUGAUAGCCCCGUCUAGCAUUGACCUCAUAUAGGAUCUUAACAUGGAGUCGAGUUGUUUGGGAAUGCAGCUCAAAUGGGUGGUAUGCUCCAUCUAAAGCUAAAUAUCUGCGAGAGACCGAUAGUAAACAAGUACUGUGAGGGAAAGAUGAAAAGAACUUUGAAAAGAGAGUGAAAAAGUACGUGAAAUUGUUGAAAUGGAAGGGUAGGCCGCUAACCAUGUAGAGCCGUGUUUGGGGGGAAGAUAAAUGCUGUAGAAUGUAGCUCCUCGGAGUAUUAUAGAUGCAGUUCAUAUUCCCACCCGAGCGCGAGGAUCUCAGGUUCUACUAAAUGGUGGUCUACCAC